rnacentral:tRNA from 1 species
GGCUCCUUAGUUCAAUGGAUAGAACAGCAGUUUCCUAAACUGUUAAUGCAAGUUCGAUUCUCGCAGGAGCUA